UCGUAUUUUUGACACGUUUAAUAAUUAUAUCGUGUUCGUGUUUACCUUAAUCGUGUCGUGUCAUAAUCGUGUCGACACGAAUCUGACACGUUUACACAAAUUGCCAGUCCUACCCAUAACAUUUACUUUUGUAACUAUAUUCAAAUAUUGUUUUGUAAUAAAUAUUAUAUUCAAAUAUUACAUUUUUAACAUUUUUUGGUAGCAACAUAAAGCCCAAGCCCACAUUUUGUUAGGGAUUUGUUUCUUCACUUCUCUUACACGGUCAAUUCCCUAAAACAAUUGCACAGACUUUCACCUCUCUCGUCAUUGACCUCCUCUCGAAAUCUCUGUCCAGUGGCACCACGACAUGGUAGUUUUUGCAAGCCUUUUUUCUUUUCAAAUCAAAAAAUCAGUUGACCUCUCUCCAUCAAUUCGACAGUGUUGCUCGCAAUCAAGAAGCAUUGGGUUGUUGUUGUAGAUUCAGUUGGGGCUCAGGCCUGCUGUCACAGUCAUAUGCAUUUGUCUCUUUGUGGUUAGUUUUGCAGAUGAUGAUGGUGGUUGUAGCACUGCCGUUUUUUUGUUUCGAGGUUUUGGUUUAUGAGUUUUUGUUUGUCACUAUUUCUGUUUGGGUGUUUGCAGAUGGUGAUGAUGGUGUGUGUUUUUGCUUGAAACACUAAUCUUUGAUGUUGUAACUUUUGGGUUUGGUUUACUCGAAGAAAACUAAUUUGAAAUGUUGUUAUAUGCCAGAGUGAAAUUUAAAUGCUAUAAUCAUAGUAAAUGCAAUUAAACUAACUUUUGUACCGUUCCUUGAAUUCCUUACAGAUGAGACCCUAUUUCUAUAAUAAAUCUGAAAGAAAAAAAAUUACAAAAGAAGUGGGUUAACUUUUGUAUUUGUUCAACUGAAAUUAAUAUGAGAUUCUAAUGAAUCUUGUUUAGAAUGGUGAGAUCAUUUUUCUUUAUUUGUACUUUCUCUUGUCAAUGUGAAAGAUUGUGUACUCUUGAAAUAUUGUAUUGCUUGGUUAUGUAAAUAUGCAAUUGUUGUUGAAGAAACAACUAUUAGAAUUGGAUGACCAAUUGACAGG